rnacentral:sRNA from 1 species
UCACUGUAGACUCGGAACAUUUUGUUGCC